AUCCAGCUGACGAGUCCCUAAUAAGAUGAAACGCGCGUCCUGGAU
rnacentral:hammerhead_ribozyme from 1 species